UUUCUCAUUUAUCCUCAAACAUUCAAACACUCUCUAGUCUCUCAAGUUCUUCUUCAUCUUCUUCAAGCUUUCAAGCUUUUAAGUCUAAUAAGAGUUGUAGUUGGUUACAAUAUCUCUUUCACAGACAUAAAUAUAUAGUUAUAAUAUUAUACAUAUACAACAUAUUUACAUAAAAAAAUUAUACAACAUUCUUCAUUUUAUAUCCUCACAAUGUCUCCCCUUCAAAGCUAACACUUAUCCCAUUAGCCUAUCUUUCCAAAACCCAACAAAUAUAAUCGUUCUUAAAGCAUUUUGAUCUUGAUCAAAUCCCACUUAUCUGUUGUGUUUGAUUAUAACAUCACAUUAGUGUUUGAUUAUCACGCCACAUCGUUAUUGCCGAAGAUAAAUGUAUAAUAUCAAAUUGAGUGCUACCAUGUUUUAACUAUAUCUUUAUUUUUGCGUUUAAUUUGUAUCCAAUGUAUGCGUUGAUUAUUUUUCGUAUUAUACUACAAAACAUCUGAGUCGAGCCUUAUUUAAUCUACUCAUAAUUCAACCAAUUUUCUUCUUAUGCG
rnacentral:lncRNA from 1 species